rnacentral:rRNA from 1 species
UACGUAGGUGGCAAGCGUUGUCCGGAUUUAUUGGGUUUAAAGGGUGCGUAGGCGGUUAUAUAAGUCAGUGCUGAAAUAUCCCGGCUUAACCGGGAGGGUGGCAUUGAUACUGUACGACUUGAGUAAAGUUGAGGUUGGCGGAAUUGACGGUGUAGCGGUGAAAUGCUUAGAUAUCGUCAAGAACACCGAUUGCGAAGGCAGCUAACAGCUUAACUGACGCUGAGGCACGAAAGUGUGGGGAUCAAACAGG